rnacentral:lncRNA from 1 species
UUGGAUGAAUCCUGGUGUAAUGUAAUGUUGACAAGGGCGUAACAAUCAUCAAACACGUAUCAGCUUAUUAGAAUUUUACGUUUACACUUUGCAAGAUUAACAAAACAAAUCACAUGAAUCCAAAUGUGGAUUUACAAAGACACCAGAAAUCAAAUCAUCAGCCAUGACAUAAUAGACAAUGACAAAGUUAAUCACCAAUUCCACUCCAAUUCUCCCUACUGCAAAUACAGAAAAGAAAAAGAAAAUAGAAGGCACAAGAAUGAAAAGAUCACUAGACACAUAGCAACAUACAAACUAAAGGACCUAUAACAGUACCAUCCAUCCAUGAUAAUAGUAGUACUCCAUAUGCCCUUAAAUUACAUACAAAAGAAAAUAUUCCAAGGCCAUCUUUGUAUCCC